GUUUUCCGGCGCCGGCCCUAGGUCCCGGCAGCGGUGGUGACGGCGGUGCCGGAGGUUGUCCUUGGCAGGUUUUCCUCGGCGCUUCUCCAUGGAGGAGGCGGUGCGAACGGCUUCAGCCCCGAAUGCUCGCAUCUCCCACUGGACGGCGACGAAGGCGGUGGCCGUGCGAGCGCAGGACUGGGCGGCCUGUGUGGGGGUGUGAGCCGCGGUGCCCAAGGCUGCGCCGGCGAGGGGAAGCCGCGCGGCCGGCCGGCCGACUAGGUGAGGAAACCCACCGUGAAUCGGAUUGCCGUUCAGUCCCACGGAAGCCUGGCUCGUUGGCCAUGUCGGGGACGCAUGUUCAUUAAGUUCAUUAAAAUAAUUUCAUUUGUCUUGGCUGGAGCUACUCGGCCAGGGUUUAAGACUUUAAAUGAGAAUAAAGGGUGGUAUUUACGAGGAAAUGAGAGUGAAUAAGUCAUCUCUAACCUCUCCCAGCCUUUUUUUCAUAAGAGAGACCAUAUUAAACUUACAUGUUUGAAGACUGCUUCAUUCUGC
rnacentral:lncRNA from 1 species